UUCGCUCGGGCAGUUUGGGCCAUAGUUCAAGUAGCUUCUAAUUUAUACCCACCACGUAGUGCACGGAAUAUGUUCGGCAACUGGUUGUGCGGUAUUGAUAAACAAUUUUCUUCACACAUUCUCGUGGGAGCGGCGGCAUUAUGCUGGGCAUUGUGGCUUACCAGGAAUGAUGUGAUCUUUAAUAACAAAUGUGUCUCAUCUCCUAUGCAGGUUAUUCAUGUUUGUACACGAUGGCUCCGUACUUGGUCUAUCCUGCAGAGGCCGGAGGACAGGGACCUUUUUAUGAUGGCGUCUACACGGCUGGAGCGUUCGGCCACGGAGGUUUUCUACCCCCAUGGAUGGCGGUGUGGUCUACGGAUAGGAUCUACCGCACCUUAG
rnacentral:rRNA from 1 species